rnacentral:rRNA from 1 species
AGCGAACGCUGGCGGCAGGCUUAACACAUGCAAGUCGAGCGGGCGUAGCAAUACGUCAGCGGCAGACGGGUGAGUAACGCGUGGGAACGUACCUUUUGGUUCGGAACAACACAGGGAAACUUGUGCUAAUACCGGAUAAGCCCUUACGGGGAAAGAUUUAUCGCCGAAAGAUCGGCCCGCGUCUGAUUAGCUAGUUGGUGAGGUAACGGCUCACCAAGGCGACGAUCAGUAGCUGGUCUGAGAGGAUGAUCAGCCACAUUGGGACUGAGACACGGCCCAAACUCCUACGGGAGGCAGCAGUGGGGAAUAUUGGACAAUGGGGGGCAACCCUGAUCCAGCCAUGCCGCGUGAGUGAUGAAGGCCCUAGGGUUGUAAAGCUCUUUUGUACGGAACGAAAAGGCUCUGGUUAAUACCUGGGGCACAUGACGGUACCGUAAGAAUAAGCACCGGCUAACUACGUGCCAGCAGCCGCGGUAAU